AGUUUAGUUCAAAUUUUCGGAAUUAAUAACAUACCUGAUCGAUACUGCUGAUGCUUGGUGAAAGUCCACCGUGCACACAAAAAACCUUUCCAUCCACCAAAGCACCAAGCGAAAGAUAAUCAAAUAUUUCACAACAAUAUCGCCAUACAUUGGCAGAACCAUAUUUCCUUACACAUUCGUCAUAAAAUCCAUAAACUUGUGUUAUUUGUCGUGAUUCAUGAUUUCCCCGGAUAAGGGUCAUCUCUUUCGGAUAUUUACAUUUUAAAGUCAAUAACAGGAGAAAUGUUUCUACAGAGUAAAACCCUCUAUCAACAAAAUCCCCUAGAAAUAAAUAUUUUGUACCUGGACAUGACCCACCAAUUCGAAAAAGCUCCAGUAAAUCAUGCAAUUGGCCAUGGAUAUCACCACAAAUGGUUACAGGAGAUGAGAUCCAUUGUAUGUUAGAUUCCUCAAUUAAAAUAUCUCUUACACGCUGACAAAGUUCAACAACUACCACAAAACGUUAGACCCCAUUCUUAUAAUUAUGGCAAAGAACAACCAAUAUGAAUGAUCGUUGUUAUAUCGACGGAGAUAAAAGUUAUUCUAUAAAUACUAUUAUACAUACCAUUUGAUUCUGGAAUUAACCUUCCGUUCUCCAGUUCCUCAAGUUGCCAAUCCAAAUCUAAAUCAGUCAUUUUGAACUCGUCAAAACAUAAAGUAAAGAAAACUAGAAUAACUUGGUCCUUUAGAAUAAGAAAAUAAACAAGUGAAAUUCUUUUUCAACUUUAUGUAUCAUUUAAGAAAUUUAAUUUUAAAUAAGUCAAAAUACCUCUGUCAAGAGGUAUGACGCGUAGAGCUUUGGUGACUAAAAUUCGGUUUUC